AUAAUAGGCUUUAAGAAAACAAAGUACAACUCUCACUCGCCUCUUUUAUUUAGACUUCAUUCAUUAAGAAAAAAAAACUUCAGUGUACGGAACGACAUCUCUCUCCGUUCUCCAACAUCAGUCGUCGUCGAUCUGCCGGCACGUCUUGCCUUUAAUCUCUUUGUUCCAGUUUUAGUAUGUCAAUCAAAAUCCGUUCUUUUUCAGCGGCGUGGAACUGUCUAUCCGACUUUUCCAAACAGACCAGACAUCGGCAUAUGUCUCUAUCUCUCUGCACGGUUGAUUUGUCGAUGCCAUCUAUUCAUUUUCCAGCCAUAUUAAUAAAAAAAUGAAUGCUGAUGAAUUCGUUACAAGCUGUGCAUCGAGGCUUUAUGCAGGAAAGAAAUAUGACAUUGCAAUACGAUGUACUAAAGAACAAGAGUGGGAAUUGGGGUCGUUGUCUCAACUGGAUGAGUUGAUCUAGUUCAUUUGGGGUUAUUCUUGUGGUGCAAAUUGUAAUGUUCUUUUCGUAAGUAACUAUCUCAGUUUAGGCCUUUUGUAAUCUUAUGAAUCCUAUUGCAUCAAAUAAAUUGAAUAUGUUUUGCGAAUGAAUUUAUUUUCUUUAUCAUGUAAUAAAAAGAAUUACUU